rfam:Brenneria goodwinii strain OBR1 genome assembly, contig: Contig
CAACAAAAUGGAUAGCACGGCAAUCGGCCAGAUGAGGUAGCUCAGCCACUGGAGCCACGUCGGAAUGUGGUUCAUGACCUGCGGGAUCCAAUCGCCAAGGCGGGUGAAGAGCCACCAAAACGCGCCGCCCAUCAGCAGAAUAUUCACUAAUAAAGGCAGAAUGACGAAGCGGCGGAUACCGGGCAGCGAAAUCAAGCGCCACCCUUCAACAAAAUAGUGGAUACCGCUGCGUGGUUUAUCAACCGGUUUUAAAUAAGGCAUAGCGUCAUUGCUCUCUGUUUGUCUAUGUAUGGCUGCAUCAUAAUGGGAUGAUUUUAUACUGACCAGACGGCACUUGGAUGAAAAAACAGCAAAAAAAUGCGUUGUAUCUAUCUUUAUUGUCAUAAUGUACCGUGCAGACUUGCACUUGUGUACGCAGGCAAAUAGAGU